ACUGAAAAAAUAAAAUAAUUAUCAACAUAAAACAUUGAACAACCCGCAAUUUUCCACUAUAUUUUUCAUUCCCAGACGAACAAUAUUUUUUUUUAAUUUUUAUUUUACCUGUAUCGAUCUUGAGAGCUUGAUGAUUUCCAGGACAAAAAUAGUUAGAUUUCUCCAGAAAAUAUACAAAUUAUAAAAAUUGAACAGAAAAAAAAAACCUAAUUUUGAUGUUUUGAUGAAGAUGAUGGAGAAAUGGUACAAUUUGAUGAUGAUGUGAAAUGGAUCUGAAACCCUAAUAAAUCAUCAGUUUUGGAACAAGGAGAAGUGCUGUUGGGAUUGAUCAUUAGAUACUAUUUAGCUAUUGAAACAUGCAUGCCAGAUAUCGUGGUCCGGUAAAUGGAAAUAGGUCUAGUUCAAUGGGUGUUGGGGGUGUGGGAGCUUCACCUGAGCGAUUUGCGAGAGGUCGUGGUGAGUAUAGAAACUUUAGUCGGGUUGAUUUUGGGCGUGGUCAAUCAAAGCAGUUUGGAUUGCCACAUGGAAAUGAAAUUUUCAUGGAAGCUGGACGGCUAGCGGCUGAGUACCUUGUUUCCAAGGGAGCGUUGCAUCCAAGUGCUCUUUCAGGGAAAUAUCAAAAUGGUAGCUUAAGGAAUCCAGUUGGAGAAUUUCAGGGGUUUAGGUCACAGGAGGCUGAUUUUAUGGGGGUCCCUGUGGAAGGUCGAAUAUCAGCUCUUACUCAUUUUGGGAGUGCUGCAGGUGAUGUAGGUCAUGGUAGGAAAAGGUUUCCGGAGGAAUAUAACUCAAUGGGUUCAAGAAACUUUGUGAGAGAAAGUAGAAGAAAUGAAACUUUUAAAAAUUAUGGCUCUGAGUUCAAUCGAGAAUUAGGAAGAGUUGGGUCAUGGAAUAGAGUCAGGAACUCUCCUGAUGUGGAUGCUCAAGAUAAUGCUUUUUCAGGGAAUAGAGAUGAACAGAAAGUAGCUAAGAAUAGUGAUGCGGUGUUGCAAAAUUCCCCUCCCAGGAAAAUAGAUCCUGAGAUUGAGAGUUCAGGGGACUCGCUGAUUGAUUCAGAGCCUGCAGGCCAAAACAAGGCAGGGGAUGAUGCAGGUAAAAAGGCAAGUCCUAUUAGCACUGAAACUAAUCUUCCAUCAGAGGAUGAACUACAACAUACUGAGAAGUGUAUUGAAAUGGAAGCCUCAAAAAUAGAAGUUGAUCAGGUUGAUGUUUCCAAUGAUAAUGGUGAUUUGGAGACAAAAGCUGCCAAGGAGAACAUAGAAGUUAAACCUUGUACUGAAGAACAUACGCAUACAAUCAAGAGUAGUAAUAAUUUACUUAGUGUCUGGAGGUUUGAGCAUGUUCCCAAGAAAACUCGCUCUUCAUUGGCAAAUAGAGUUCUGAAGGUUUUUGAUAAUGCAGUCAUCAAAGAUGAGAACACCCGUGAGAUGGAGCUUCCUAAGGAUACUCAAAUGCAUUCAGAACUGAACCAUGUGGAUGUUUCUGCUGGUGUAAUUUCAUCUCCUCAUAGUCAUGAUGCAAGAAACCUUGAUUCUGGCAAGUCGGAACCUCUUGAUUUGGAGGAAGAAUCACGUUGUUCUCAAGUCAUUAAGCAAGUAAAUGAGACGGAUUCCUCAUCUCUUGGAGACAGCAUGGUAAUAAAGGAGGACGAAACAAUUGUGGAGUUACCUGGAUUUGAAAGUUGCAGUUCUAUUAACUUGGAAAGAGGAGAGAAACGAGCAUUAGAGCAUGAUGAUGAUUGUACAGGGAGAACUAAGAAACCUAGAGAAUUGGUUUCAUCUACAUGUUCUCUCUCAGAUGGUAUUCUGUACCAUUCUAAUUCCAUGGAAGACUGGCCGAAUUCACAGGAACCAGGGACUUCGCACGGAGAGGGAGUGAUGUUGUCAUUAGAUGAGAAGAAGUUGGUUGACAUUCCUCUGAUUACCAAGAGUGAUGUGGAGCCAGGCACUGACUUUACAGGAAAACAACUUUUUCCAGGCUCCUUGAAAACUUGUGACCCCAAUCUUUUGGAAGCUUCUGUUGUGAAUGAGACUCAAAAUGCUGAUCCUGUUGAUAUAUUCCCAGGGAUAACUGGAAGUGUAAAAGAAGAAGCACCAGUCGAUAUUGAUCUGACCAUGAGUAGUAACUGCAAUACAGCUCGUCAAUAUGCUAAAUCUUCCUUUGAUCAUAUUGACAUUGAGGUGAUUGAUUUGGAUAAUGAUUCUGAACAAGAAGACAAGGCUUUGAAUAAUCUAGAGACGAGGUCUGAAGUUGUAUUUACUGGAUCAGAUGAUUUUUCAAAUAACCCCCAUGGUACCGACGAUACUCCUGAUGUUCAGGAUGGUUAUGGACUGAUGAUAUCAGAAUUGCUUGGGAAUGAUAUACCAAGCUGUUCUUCUGUACCAGAAAAUAUGAAUUCUUUUCACAAUGAUAUGGGCCUGCAUAAUGGAGAGCUGAGAACGACAUAACUCUUGAUGAAUGUUUUUCACCAACCUCUUGUUGAAUACUAUUAUUUUUUCUUCAGGCAGUGCUUGGAGAUGAUGAUUCAAUAUAUAUGUCUUUGGGAGAAAUACCGAUAAGCUUUCUGACGGCCUGGGAGCAGCAGACACAAGAAUUCGGGAAGCCAUUUUAAGCUACAACCUUUCCAGGUUUUCAUAAAAUAUAUUAUACAAUAAUCAUCUGUAUGGCUCAAUUUAGUUGUCAAAGAUUAGCUCUAUGCUACAGCAACUUCAUGUAUAUUUCAUGACUUGUGUAAGAUCUUCACUUCCAGCUGAUGUAAGUACUGUCCCCGCACCCCCUUCCUCGUCUCUUGAAGGGAGGUAAUCAAAUGUAUUUUCUUUACUCCUUUUCUGUUACACUCUUUUUUUUUGUCAUCACAAUUUGUCCUCUCUUGAUUAAAAGUUUAGCAGUUCCCUGA